rnacentral:lncRNA from 1 species
CUAAAUAUUGGUUUUGAAUGAAAAAUCAAUCAAUACUAGUUGGAUGCUAAGGGGAGGACACCUCAGGGCCUAUUGAAAAAUCAAGUUAGAUGAUCCCACUUAAUAGAAAACAGGGCAGCUACCAAAAAAAAAUUAAAUGCUGCAGCAUGCAAGAUUUCAGUCAUACCUGUCUUUGAUGUUAUGAUUUAUCAGCAGGAGGAAAAAUAUACCCACUAUUCAUUCAUCUGAUUUAUUUAUGAUCUAUAAAUGAAAUCAAAUGUCUGUUACGCUACAAUGUCAUUUCCAACAAAUUUCAUGAUGGAGAACGACUCAUAAGUUGCUGAAAAAUAAACGACACAAAAAUCAUCUCUAUUUCAACUGAGCACACAUUGGAUAAAUGAGCUACAAAUUAAAUUGGAGAGAGAAAAAACAUGAAAAAGUUACACAAUUGUAUCAUGUUUUUAUCCCAAAAAAAAAUUACGUUUCUUGAGCUCCAGAUUUUCCGCCUGAAUCUUGGCAAUUUCCUUAUCCAACAUCUCUGUACACUUCUUAAAAGCAGUCCGAUAACUUUCUGACCUGCUGAGCUUCUCACGCAGCUUCGAUAAUUUCUCUUUCCACUUCACAUUAAAAAAAAUAAAAAACUUAUCAGUUAUCAUCUUCAAUUUGAAAAUAACUGAAAACAAAAUCUAGGAAUCACAAAUAAAAAUUUACCAGUUCACAACAGGGAUUAGCGGACACAUGUUUCACCACCGUCCCAUCCGCCAUUCCUGCCUAAAUCCACCACAAAACAAUUAGGGUUAACAUUUCCACCACCCAAAUCAAUUACAGAAAGAGAAAGGGGGCAUACAAUGACAUCGAACAAAAAUCUGAAAACCAAAUAAUAAAUUAAACCUACCUUUUAAAUCCGGUGGACUAGCAAAAUUUAGAUCGCUACAACUCCAACUGCAGUCGAUCGAAUACCAUAACAGUGAAUAUUCUCUCCAUCUCUCUCAUAAACCCUCGAUGUUUUUCACUAAACCUUUCGCUAGGAAGGAUAGGCUAUUUGAUUUUAUACCUGUUACUGUUUGAAUUGAAUCGACUAUAUAAUCUAGUAAAG